CCAUUUUCCCCUUAGAGAGUACAGAAGAACCAGGAGAAGACAUAGAGCCACAGACGCCGCCGUCGCUCAAUUGAUGCUCGUCAAGGCUGUUUAAUGUUUUCUUCUACUUUCUUUCUACGGUGCUUGAAUUUGAUUGCAAGACGCGCAGAUAAUUAAAUGGACGAUGAAGUGCAAGAAUUGCGGAAUCGACUGAGACGAGAAGCAUAUGCUAAUAGGCGGCUAAAAAAGCAGAGUGAAAUUUGAAGUACUGUUGACCGAUGCUUCUGGUUCGAUAAUUGCAACAAUGUUUGAGAAUCAUGCUGAAGAAUAUUUGUUAGUUGAUGGGAGAACACUUCUGAACUAUGCUGCAGAGGUGAAUUUCAAUUCUGCAAGUUAGAUUAAAUUCGCAAUUCCAGAUUUCUAUUGGACAACUGAACAACAAAUUCUACCCUUAACAGAACAACCAAAAUAUUGUUGAUAUCUUCCCAAAAGUGGCCAUAGAAAAUGAAUACCUGAUCCAAUUGAUACCAUGAGAAUACCCAUCCCAUGGUGUCAAGCUUCUCACAUACAAAAUCAAAAGCAUCAAACCUGCCUUGAGUAAAGAUAACUCAAAGGAAGAUCCAGCAACAAAGACAGAAAAACCUCCAUUAGUUGAAACCAAAGUGAAGAACAAGCUCUUCCAAGAAGAUGACCAUCCCACAACCAUAUCAGAAGAAACUCUUGAAUCACCAUAAAAGCCUAGCUCAGUAAGCAUGCUAAAACUAGAACUAAUCACCUACUUUAUUUUGGUAGGCAUUGUCGUUGGCGUAUAGUCUUUUGAUUUACGGUUCCUUGCUACCACCACAGCUGUAUAUAUCUGAUAGUAGCUGUUCUGAGGCAUUGUGCCUUCCUUUUUGUAACAAUUGCUACUAUCCCUUCCAAACCGGAGCUGUUGGUGUAUAGCCUUUUGAUUUGUGUUUCAAUUUCUUUGUGUUGGGCCUCAA